AUUGAACGCUAGCGGGAUGCUUUACACAUGCAAGUCGAACGGCAGCGCAGACUUCGGUCUGGCGGCGAGUGGCGAACGGAUGAGUAAUAUAUCGGAACGUACCCAGUAGCGGGGGGAUAACUACUCGAAAGAGUGGCUAAUACCGCAUACGUCCUACGGGAGAAAGCAGGGGACCUUCGGGCCUUGCACUAUUGGAGCGGCCGAUAUCGGAUUAGCUAGUUGGUGGGGUAAAGGCCU
rnacentral:rRNA from 1 species